UCCGUGGUUUCUCUUACAUGGAUGGUCUUC
rnacentral:piRNA from 1 species